GACGAACGCUGGCGGCGUGCUUAACACAUGCAAGUCGAGCGGUAAGGCCCUUUCGGGGGUACACGAGCGGCGAACGGGUGAGUAACACGUGGGUGACCUGCCCUCAGCUCUGGGAUAAGCCUGGGAAACCGGGUCUAAUACUGGAUAUGACUCCAUGACGCAUGUUGUGGGGUGGAAAGCCUUGUGCGGCUGAGGAUGGGCCCGCGGCCUAUCAGCUUGUUGGUGGGGNGAUGGCCUACCAAGGCGACGACGGGUAGCCGGCCUGAGAGGGCGACCGGCCACACUGGGACUGAGACACGGCCCAGACUCCUACGGGAGGCAGCAGUGGGGAAUCUUGCGCAAUGGGCGAAAGCCUGACGCAGCGACGCCGCGUGAGGAUGACGGCC
rnacentral:rRNA from 1 species